UAGAUUCAGAAGAGUCCAUUUUCAGAAACCCUAAUGUACUCUCCCUGCAUUUCCUAAUUUCACUCUAAACUCCACAAUUUUCUGUUCUCUCUCUACUGAUCUCCAAAAAGGUUCGAUGAAAGUCAAUGAAAACGUGAAGAUAUUAGCUUACAGUUUUUUGUGUGCGAUUUUUUUAAGGAAAAUAAUUUUCAUUUAUUUAUUUGUGAC
rnacentral:lncRNA from 1 species